rnacentral:rRNA from 1 species
AACGAACGCUGGCGGCAUGCCUAACACAUGCAAGUCGAACGAGACCUUCGGGUCUAGUGGCGCACGGGUGCGUAACGCGUGGGAACCUGCCCUUAGGUUCGGAAUAACUCCCCGAAAGGGGUGCUAAUACCGGAUAAUGUCUUCGGACCAAAGAUUUAUCGCCUUUGGAUGGGCCCGCGUUGGAUUAGCUAGUUGGUAGGGUAAAAGCCUACCAAGGCGACGAUCCAUAGCUGGUCUGAGAGGAUGAUCAGCCACACUGGGACUGAGACACGGCCCAGACUCCUACGGGAGGCAGCAGUGGGGAAUAUUGGACAAUGGGCGAAAGCAUGAUCAAGCAAUGCCGCGUGAGUGAUGAAGGCCUUAGGGUUGUAAAGCUCUUUUAACCGGGAUGAUAAUGACAGUACCGGGAGAAUAAGCUCCGGCUAACUCCGUG